ensembl:lncRNA
UUAUUCGACCAAUAUUCACAAACCAGGUAUCAUUGGAUUCCUUGAACCAAGCCCAGUUCAACAAACCCUAUGACGUCAUUGCGCCAUGACGUAUAUGUCCGCCAUCUUGGUUUAUGUCAAAAACCUUCAAAAUGCUACUCCUAUCACAAAUCUUGUCCAAUCAUCUUGAAACUUGGCACACAUGAUCUUCUGGCCAUCCUUGAUGAAAAACAUCGAAUAGAUUUGUCAAAUUCAAAACCGUUUGCCCGCUAAAGCCAAUCAAAUUUGGCGGCGAAGCCGCCAAACAGGAAGUGAGCCGAUUUCUCAGCAUCCCUUUGACAUAUCAUAACCAGACUUGGUAUAUAGACCCAUGGCCUCAUAAAGGUGACACUGAUUUAAUUUGGUGACCUUUGACCUGUAGGGGGCGCUGUUAUUAAUGUCCAUGUGUUUUGACCUCUUUCCCUUCACAUGAGUACAUUUACAACUUAUUUUCAAUGUCUGGUGAUACUAUCAGACCUCCCCGUAUAGCUAGUAUAUUAUAACUUGCACAAAUAUCCGCGACAGCCAAUGAUAUUCAACCGCGAAGCCGCCAAACUGGAAAAACGCCAAUAUCUCAGUAUCCCUUGGACAAAUCAUAACCAAACUUGAUACCUAGACCCAUAACAUCAUUAUGGGGACACUCAAUGAAUUUGGUGACCAUUGACCUCGAGGGGGCGCUAUAAUUAAUGAAGACGUGUUUUAACUCCUCUCUCUUCACAUGAGUACAUUUCAAACUUAUUAUCAAUGUUUAAUGAUACUGUCAGACCUCCCCAUAUAUCUUGUAAAUUAUUUUGUUGAUAUUGUUCCGAAUACCCCUAUGUAUUUGUGACAUUUGUUCUGUCAGGCAGACUGCAUUGCCC